AAUGGCCUAACGGCUGAACUGGCAACUUGGAGAAGUGGCAAGUCCUAUUUUGACCAUAUCUAUGAAUAUGAUCUAUAGGAUUGUAUUAAAAUUGAAUAAAGCUUUGUUUAUAUAUUGAUAAUGACAGUAUAUAUAUCGUGUCUUGACUAAUUGCGUGCCAGCAGUCGCGGUAAUACGUAAGAGACUAGUGUUAUUCAUCUUAAUUAGGUUUAAAGGGUACCUAGACGGUCAAUAUAGCUUCUAAAAUGUUAGUACUUGACUAGAGUUUUAUGUAAGAGGGCAGUACUUGAGGAGGAGAGAUGAAAUUCUAUGAUACCAAAGGGACUCGGUAAAGGCGAAGGCAGCCCUCUAUGUAAAAACUGACGUUAAAGGACGAAGGCACAGAGCACAAACAGGAUUAGAUACCCAAGUAGUCUUUGCAGUAAAUGAUGAAUGCCAUAGGUUAGAUUAAGAUUUAGUAUUAUAAUUUUAUAUUAAAUAUUAAACAUUAUUUGGUCUAUAAAUGAAAGUGUAAGCAUUUCACCUCAAGAGUAAUGUGGCAACGCAGGAACUGAAAUCACUAGACCGUUUCUGACACCAGUAGUGAAGUAUGUUGUUUAAUUCGAUGAUCCACGAAAAACCUUACCACAAUUUGUAUAAUUAUUACAGGAGUUGCACGGCUGUUUUCAGUUAAUGUUGUGAAACUGUGGUUUCCAUGUAAUUAACGUAAUCCCUGGCUUUA
rnacentral:rRNA from 1 species